GACGUAGGGCGCGAGCGUUGUCCGGAUUUAUUGGGCGUAAAGAGCUCGUAGGCGGCUUGUCGCGUCGACUGUGAAAUCCCGCGGCUCAACCGCGGGCUUGCAGUCGAUACGGGCAGGCUUGAGUUCGGUAGGGGAGACUGGAAUUCCUGGUGUAGCGGUGAAAUGCGCAGAUAUCAGGAGGAACACCGAUGGCGAAGGCAGGUCUCUGGGCCAUAACUGACGCUGAGAAGCGAAAGCAUGGGGAGCGAACAGG
rnacentral:rRNA from 1 species